GCCAGACUCCUACGGGAGGCAGCAGUGGGGAAUAUUGGACAAUGGGGGGAACCCUGAUCCAGCGACGCCGCGUGAGUGAAGAAGUAUUUCGGUAUGUAAAGCUCUAUCAGCAGGGAAGAAAAAAAUGACGGUACCUGAGUAAGAAGCACCGGCUAAAUACGUGCCAGCAGCCGCGGUAAUACGUAUGGUGCAAGCGUUAUCCGGAUUUACUGGGUGUAAAGGGAGCGUAGGCGGCGCGUUAAGUCUGAUGUGAAAACCCGAGGCUCAACCACGGGAGUGCAUUGGAAACUGGCGGGCUGGAGUGCCGGAGAGGUAAGCGGAAUUCCUAGUGUAGCGGUGAAAUGCGUAGAUAUUAGGAGGAACACCAGUGGCGAAGGCGGCUUACUGGACUGUAACUGACGUUGAGGCUCGAAAGCGUGGGGAGCAAACAGGAUUAGAUACCCCGGUA
rnacentral:rRNA from 1 species